AUCUGGGUGGUGUAGUCGGUCAUCAUGCUAAACUAGUCUAACACACAAGAGGUCCCCGCUUUGAACCCGGGCUCAGACA